GACGAACGCUGGCGGCGUGCUUAACACAUGCAAGUCGAACGCUGAAGCUCAGCUUUUGUUGGGUGGAUGAGUGGCGAACGGGUGAGUAACACGUGAGUAACCUGCCCCCUUCUUUGGGAUAACGCCCGGAAACGGGUGCUAAUACUGGAUAUUCACUGGUCUUCGCAUGGGGGUUGGUGGAAAGGGUUUUUCUGGUGGGGGAUGGGCUCGCGGCCUAUCAGCUUGUUGGUGGGGUGAUGGCCUACCAAGGCUUUGACGGGUAGCCGGCCUGAGAGGGUGACCGGUCACUUUGGGACUGACCUGCGGCCCAGGCUCGUCCGGGGGGGAGCAGUGGGGACUAUUGCCCAAUGGGCGCAAGACUGAUGCCGCGUCGCCGCGUGAGGGCUUGGGGCCUUCGGGUUGUGAACCUCUUUCGCUCAUGGUCAAGCCGCAACAAUGGUUGUGGUGAGGGUAGUGGGUAAAGAAGCGCCGGCUAACUACGUG
rnacentral:rRNA from 1 species